UCUUCCUCGCUGGCUAUCUGCGAUAUUCAGUUAAAGUUCUGCUGCUUCAUCUUUUCCGUCAUCUUCUACGUCUUCGUCUGUCAAUCGUGACUGAUAAUUUUCUUGUUCUUUUAUGCAUUUUUUUUCUUUAUGUGUAAGUUGGUUCAAUGCCGUGUGAAGUAUGUUUGAUAUUUAAAAAAUGAGCAUAUUAUGUUGAUUCAGU
rnacentral:lncRNA from 1 species